ensembl:lncRNA
UAAAUAAAUAAAUAAAUAAAUAAAUAAUAAUAAUAAUAAUAAUAAUAAUAUUAAUAAUAUAUAUUUGCAUAAAUAUAUAAAUAGCUUAGCAAAAAUAAAUAACAUUCAACAAGAAAAAAAAAAAAAGAGAUUCGCAUAUAUAGUGCUAAAAAAAAAAAAUAAAAUAAAAUAAUUAAUAAAAUAAAAAUAUGAUUUUAUAAUAAAUUUUUAUAUAAAAAUAAUAUCUAUAUAUGAAUGCAAUAAUAUAUAUUUUUUUUUUUUUUCUUUUUUUUUUUUUUUUUAAUUAUUAAAAAGUUUUUAUGAUUUGAAAAAAAAAUUAUAUUUUAAAAAAUAAUUUAGUAUAAGAAAUAAAGUAAUUUUUUUCAUAUAACUUAAUUUUAUUUUAUUAUAUUUUUUUCAUUGAAUUAAGAAAAAUAAUAAUAUUUAUAUUUAAUUUAAAAAGUUAGUAUUAUUAGAUAAGCUACCCAAAAAGUAAAAAUAAGAAAAGUAAUAAAAAUAAUGAAAAAAUAUAACUAAUAAAAAAAAUAAUAAUAGUAAAUAUAGUAAAAAAAAAAGCAAAUCAUAAAAACGCUAAUAGUAUAAAACACUAAUAGUAUAAAACGCUAAUCAUAAAAAAAAAAAAAAGAAGUUAAUUUUAUAAAAAUAAAAUAGUAAAAAUGAAGAUAAAAAUAAAUUUAGGAAAAAGAAAGAGGGGUUUUGAAAUUUCAAUAAUAGAAGGCUUUAAGAGCCUAAUGAAUAAAAUAUUUGGGCAAGGUAUCCAUAAAUAUUUUAAGUUUGUUAAUGUGGCUAUCAUAAUAUUGUUUGUUAUAAUUAUGAAUUAUAUUUUAAAGUUUGACCCCAAAACUGCAAGGAAAAAUAAAAACUUGUUAUAUAUGUACUAUGGAUUCCUAUUAUGUCUCAUCGGAUUUGCUAUCAGCGUAAAUUGGGUACACUAUGAUUAUAUAAAAAACAAAAAAAAGAAGAGCCCAAUGGACAUAAAAUUGAGAUAUACCAAAAAAAAUAGCUGAAGGAAGUAACUUUUUUGCAAUUUUUUCCCUUCUUUGCCCUUUUUACCACUUUUACCUUUUUUUGAAUUUAACAACUAACUUUUGAUUGAUGUUAUAUACAAUGGCUUAUAGCUUAAAGUUUUUUUAUGCUUUGUGAUUUCAUCAUCUUUUUUUAGUGAGUGUUUAGGUUCCUAUUAUCAAGUGGAUUGUUUGAAUUAUUUUUUUAGAACGUGCAUUUAUAUAUAGCGCAUGUCAGUGUUUAUUUUUGUUCUUAUUUUAGUAUGUUUUUUUUUUUUAUCAUACUUUUUUAUGUUUUUAUUAUGUUUGAGCUGCUUUUUUUUUUUUUUUUUUUUUUUUUUUUUUUUUUUUUUUUUUUUUUUUCUCUAUAUACAUAUGCAUAUACAUAAAUUAUUAAUAUUUAGCUUAAUUACCUUAUCAAUAAGAAAAUAUGAAACGUUUAACUGAGUCUUGUCGUUAAAAACCCAUAUACCGUCACCUGUUGGAAUGUUAUUUUUGAAAUUCCCUAUAAAAUAUACUCCUAAAUUUUAAAGGGAAUAAGUAUUAAUGCAUAAAAUGAAUGAACAAUAAUGAACAUAAUAAAAAAAAAUAAAAUGAAUAAAAAAAAUAAACA